rnacentral:tRNA from 1 species
UCCCUGAUAGCUCAGCUGGUAGAGCAAGUGGCUGUUAACCACUUGGUCGUGGGUUCGAAUCCUGCUCAGGGAG